GGAAAGACUCGGGAACGGGAACUUCAUUGAUCCCGAUCCCUUGGCUGCCAUGGCAUAAUCGCGGUAAUUCUGAGACUAAUACAAGAACGUACCACCUAACCGACCGGGCAACUGGGAGGUUGGGGGUCGUGUGGGCUUAAGCUGCAAUCGAUCGAAUGAAUACACACACGAUCAAACCACCAUAAACAACGAUCGGUGAGUCUCAGUCUUAUACCCGAGAGGGGAAAGCGUGGCUCUAGUUCGGGUGGGCCCAGUAAUGCGCUUCUGACCUAUCAACUAUAAUGCGAUUCCAUGGACUGCGAUGGUCACAACGGGUACAGAGGAUAAGGGUUCGAUCCUGGAGAGUGGGCCUGAGAGAUU
rnacentral:rRNA from 1 species